GUCACUUUGCCGGAGUGGUUAACGGGAUCGCCUGCUAUUUCAUAGCAUUUAUAGCGGUUGUGCUUUGCACGCGAGUGUUCGAAUCGCUCAGGUGACG